CUCCUCUUCGCUGAAUACAGCUCACGGUAAGUACUGGUUCACACAGUUCGUUCCUUGGGUGCUCACUCGCUUUCUCUUUCUCCACAGGUAGCGGCGUAAGUACAGUUUUCCUCGGUCUCUCCUCGUGUUACCCACUCUCUCUCCUUUUCUCUCCACAGGUAUCAACUUAGGCACAAUAGCACAGUUAGUUUGCUUUGAAUGGCUCUCACCUCUGGGCUGGACACAGCGUACUGUAAGUACAGGUUCCCUCUGGUUCUCCUUGUGUUACUCACUCUCUCUUUCCUUUUCUCUCCACAGGUAUCAACUUGGACACAAAGCACAGUUACUCUGCUUUGGAUGGCUUUCACCUCUGGGCUGGACACAGCGUACCGUGCUAUCUCCGGAGAUCUGAAGCACGCUCACAACAUAUACUGUACUGAACUAGGCUAGGACCAGCAGUCUCCUUGUCCUCCCGCGACGAAGUGCGUGAAGGCGGGGGUUUAUCUGACAGGACACACGGCAAUACACAGCAGCCCACAGCAAUAUACAACACCACGUCAAAAUUAUAGGUUUUCACAGCACGAAGACUCACCCACCACACUCAGUGUACGAAAAGGACACCCGUCUUCCUUCACUUCGCUUGGUUCGGAUCUGGCGAUGGAAUAUGCGGCCUAGCUAGUGAUGUCGUCGUUGUGACUACUUCAAUAAGUAUUCCUUCGGCUCUCCCACCACGCUAUAUUAGGGGUAGGGCCGCCCUCCUCCUCCUGGAGAGAUCUACACAACGCCAGGUCAAUAUACAGGGCACUUUCGACUGGCUCUUAGUACUCACAUCAAUGCCGCUUCCAAUCCCCUUUUUUUCACGUCGUCUCAGUUCGCCGUAUAAUCCGUUCACUUCUCAACCUUUAAGGUUCGCGAUGUCUUCACAAUCAUACAAUUCCAGCCUGAGGGAGAGAGAGAGUUAGACAGCCACCAGCAGCGCACCAAGACGGGCACAACACAGUGCUUCACACACACCAG
ensembl:lncRNA